AGCGAACGCUGGCGGCAGGCCUAACACAUGCAAGUCGAACGAACCUUUCGGGGUUAGUGGCGGACGGGUUAGUAACACGUGGGAACGUGCCUUUAGGUUCGGAAUAACUCAGGGAAACUUGUGCUAAUACCGAAUGUGCCCUUCGGGGGAAAGAUUAAUCGCCUUUAGAGCGGCCCGCGUCUGAUUAGCUAGUUGGUUGAGGUAAUGGCUCACCAAGGCGACGAUCAGUAGCUGGUCUGAGAGGAUGAUCAGCCACAUUGGGACUGAGACACGGCCCAAACUCCUACGGGAGGCAGCAGUGGGGAAUCUUGCGCAAUGGGCGAAAGCCUGACGCAGCCAUGCCGCGUGAAUGAUGAAGGUCUUAGGAUUGUAAAAUUCUUUCACCGGGGACGAUAAUGACGGUACCCGGAGAAGAAGCCCCGGCUAACUUCGUG
rnacentral:rRNA from 1 species